ACUGCGCCCCGACUUGAGUGGAAAUCCUUUUUGCUUAAAACAAUCUUUCGAUUUAUGAAAAUUUUUCAAAGCAAAAAGAUUGAGAACGGAAGGCGGAUAAAGGC
rnacentral:sRNA from 1 species